GGAAGAAAAGGUCUUAUCUGGUUCUCAGUUACUUCUUGUAGCUCCUUGUCUCUUCAGGUCAAGAAGUGAUAUUCUGCAUUGAUCGUCAGAAGAUGAUACAGAGGAACAGUGAUGGGAGCACCUCUUGGCCUCUGUUUAUGCUAAUUGCAAGAGGAGAAUGAAGCACGUGAAGUGAUAGGGACAGUACCUUUUCGGAUGAGGACAUGCAGCUUUUUUCCCUACGUAACACAGGUCCCAAGAGCUGAUGGAGCUUUUGCAUUUGAACUGGUAAAGGGAUUUGCUGAACCAUUUGCCUCAACCCACUGAAUACAAAGAAAGAAAAAAAGAGGAAAAAAAGAAAAAGAAAAAGAAAAGAAAAAAAAAAAAGAAAUCAGACAUACCAUAAUCAGCUGCUUGAAACAAGGUACAUCAACUCAGUUAAGAAAGUUACUGGCUACUCCAGGCACUAAGUUAUUAAAUAAAAGGUGGAUGGCACUACUACGUUUGUUGGCAAGCGUUUAAUGGAUGUAAGCAUCUGGAGGAUUCUGGCUCAAGUACGUAUAGCCCUGGGUCAGGCCUCUAAACUCUGGAGAGAGCACCUUGACCAAAAUAGCAUGAAGAAUGAGAAAGCUCUUCCUCUAAAGUUUGUAAUGCAUUUAAAUGUCUCUGCCUUUGCUGAGAUCAAGCAGACAUUCUAAACUGGGUAAACAAGAAAAAUAUGAAUUGUCAAUGAAUCAAGUUGGAGACAUUUCAAGCAAAUCUCUGAGAGAAUCAAUAUUAUGUCAAGGUUUAUUCCAUAUCUUCAUUAAUGAUCCAGAAAUACAGCGAGCAUCAGAGAAGACUGACAUAUAAAACAAAGGCAUUGAGAAGGUGUGAUUAACAUUUAAACACAAUAGUUGUUGCCAUAAGAAUUAUGUCAAGUUGCUGGAUGAUCCUCACCAGUUUUUCUGAUAGAGCUCUUCCUUAUGGAGCAAAAGAUGCUGGAGCACUUCAUUUCCUUGAGAAGAACUGCUGUGCCCGGAAACCCAAACAACGAGGCUGCGCCACAGAAACUGUCUCAUGUUCUUUCUGCUUAAGCUCUGAUGAUAUUGAUGACUUCUGACUCAAAGGGAACUAAAAGAAAAGCCUUUUCAUAUGUUGGAUUUGGCCACAAAGGAGGUGAAGGGUGUUUCCUUUCAGGCUACUGCUGCAGCCAGCAAAGAGGUACCAUGCAGCCCUGCUGUGUGCCCCUGCUUAAUCAGGUACUGCCCAUGGCAGCAAGGCUGUUCCAGUCCUGCACUGCCACGAUGCGGCGCUGCAUUAAUUCCCCACCGUCCUCUCCCGACCGUCUGUCUUCCAUACUUUGGCUCACUGGCACCUACUUACUUCAGAGUUAGUGACAGCAAAUGGAAAGUGCCCAGGGAUAUUACUGCCACGUGAGCUACCAGGAACUGUAUCAUUAUAUGACACUGAGAAACCUUUAAAAAUAAGGAAUGAUACAUUUAUGAAAUGAUCUUGUUUCACAAAUUCAGGCUGCAAUCUCUCCAAAAUUAAAGUCUCUUUUGUGUCUAUCAUUUCACUGAACCGCUGGAAAUUUGUCCAGCUAAACUCAGCUUUAAUACUUUCCAUUGAACUGCCAAGUGAGCUUAUUUGAUCACAGUAAUCCUAUCUGAUGCAUUGUAUAUCAUCUGAUUAUGUUACUCACCCUGCCAAGCAGAGUCUGAUCUUGUCCUUCCUCCAAGCUUACAUCAGACCUGAGAGUGAUUCAGAAGGUACCACAGCACUGCACAUGGCUUCCCCUGCUCUCAGCGGGAGAUGGACAGCUGAGAGGCUGUCUGGAUACGGCUCAUAGCAGAUCACACAGGCUGAGAGUGCUGUAACAGGAAAAAGAAGUCUGUGAAAAUCAUUUUAUUGUUGUUUCACAAUUUGUUCUGUUUGCCUUUUACUUAUUGCAUGAAACUUAACUUCGCUGUUUUGCAGAUAGAACCGUUACCCAUUUUUCCCCUGCAUAGAUUUAUAAAUGUUGUGUGACCUCUUGUGGUAUAACAAAAUACUACACAUACAAUCCGUGAAUAACACAGUUUAUGUAACCUGCAAUCUACCUACAGCCAAUCUGCCCUGAUGGCUGGAUUUCUAUUAACUAAAGGCUACCCGGUGGCUAUGAAACUCUCAGUUAACAGUGAAUCACAAUGGAAAAAUCUCCCUCCAUGUCAAUCAUCCAGUGAGUGCAUGUAAUGUGGGUAACUCUUAAUUGUUAGCCAGAUUUAAAUGUCAUCAACUACAGUUAUUCCUAAACAUGCUUAUUUUUGAUGAGACAUUUGAUGAGACAUAAAGUUCCACAUUUAGCAAUAACAUACAGAUGCUGAUACUGAAAAUGUAGCUUCAUUCCUGUCAUUAACGAUAUUUGGCACUGAAGAAAUAAAGUAAUUAACAAGC